rnacentral:rRNA from 1 species
AUUGAACGCUGGCGGCAUGCCUUACACAUGCAAGUCGAACGGCAGCACGGACUUCGGUCUGGUGGCGAGUGGCGAACGGGUGAGUAAUAUAUCGGAACAUACCCUAGAGUGGGGGAUAACGUAGCGAAGUUACGCUAAUACCGCAUACGAACUAAGGUUGAAAGUGGGGGAUCGCAAGACCUCAUGCUCAUGGAGUGGCCGAUAUCUGAUUAGCUAGUUGGUGAGGUAAAGGCUCACCAAGGCGACGAUCAGUAGCUGGUCUGAGAGGACGACCAGCCACACUGGAACUGAGACACGGUCCAGACUCCUACGGGAGGCAGCAGUGGGGAAUUUUGGACAAUGGGGGGCAACCCUGAUCCAGCAAUGCCGCGUGAGUGAAGAAGGCCUUC